UAUUAAAUGUCAGUGGCAGCC
rnacentral:siRNA from 1 species